rnacentral:rRNA from 1 species
UACAGAGGGUGCAAGCGUUAAUCGGAAUUAUUGGGCGUAAAGAGCUCGUAGGCGGUUCAGUCAGUCGGGUGUGAAAACUUCGGGCUUAACUCGAAGCAUGCAUCCGAUACUGCUGUGACUUGAGUCCGGUAGGGGAGUGGGGAAUUCCUGGUGUAGCGGUGAAAUGCGCAGAUAUCAGGAGGAACACCGGUGGCGAAGGCGCCACUCUGGGCCGGUACUGACGCUGAGGAGCGAAAGCGUGGGUAGCAAACAGG